CAUAGUGACCCUUGUGGAAAGUGGUGCUAGAGUCUAACCUGAUUUCGAACAUAAGAGGCAAGUAAAGAACCAAGAGUUCUCCCUCUGUGACCCAUAAUUCUGCGUGUGAAGACCCAAAUGAAGAGGAUUUGAGUCGUGGUGGUGUUGAUGCUGGUAUGUGGAGCCAGUCAAGUAUUUUGAAGUGACCUUCACACACAGCAGUAGGCAAGAGGUUGGAUAAGAGUCCCGUGGAAAGGAAAGUGGCUCAAAGCCUUUCUCAUGGUCUUGCUGACUGGGGAGAACAUGCAAGAACACAAAGUUGACUGUAAGCUGUUUCCUGCAGUGCUGUGGUUUGGUUCACAUCCUGAAACAUGGAAAGACCACAUCCCUGAGACUUUGAAAUAGUUAAUGUGUACACUUUUCCACCGUCCUUUGUUUUAAUGUUGACAUGAAACACUAUGGGUGAUUUUUGCAGAUCAAUUAUGCACCGAUUUAAGCUUUAUUUGUAUAUUAUAGUUGAAGGUUUGAAAAAUGUGAAACUAAAUGUGUAAAUGUAAAUGUGAACUAAACAGAAAAUGUAUCAUAAUCAAGAUGACACACAAUAUAGUAUGCAGCAUACUGAUUACAUGCAUAUGAUACAGCCUAUAGCUUGGGCUCUCUGGAUUCGAAGAGCUGGAAUGCUGUGCACCACCACAGGUUGUUUAGCCACCAAAGUGUAACAUAUGCUUGCUACUUAGCAAAUAGGAUAAAUCCAUUAUUGAGUUGAGUGAUGUGGUUGGGUAGGGUUGAGGAAAUCAGGCUCAUUGAAAGAGAUGGGAUAAGAAAUGGCUUCAGGACCAGUAAAAGAGAGUCAGUGGGUGAUGAGUUGUAUUCUGGAGCUCUGACAGUAUUUUUGGGGUUCCUAGCAGUGAUGGUCUCUGAAAUGCACAGGCAGCAGGUUGUUUUUGCUUACUUUAAAACUUGUUGCCUUUUGGUUAUUUUCUUGUUUCCAGUCACUUUAUCUUGAGGGGAAAUAAUUUGAGUACCAGCUCUAUUUGCCCAUUUUAUUUACUGUGUAUGUAGCUUCUUUGCCUUGUUCAUAUUUUUGCUGGAGGGGAAUGUUGUCUUCCGACUGAAUAGGAAUCUAGACUUUUCUAAUACAUCACUUUACAGGAGGGAAGCCUGGUUCUUGACUCCUUUACAGGGUGGGAAGUACUGCAUUUUAAAAUUGUGGAACUGUUCUGUUGCAAAACUGCCUUAUAUGCAUUAGGAUCAAGGUAAAAGAGUUUCUUCAGCUGCUUGGACCAAGCUGGUUCAGUAGUUCUGGACCCAUUUGCAGCCUCAUCUUUGUGUAUGAUAAUUUUACAGUCAGGCUAUGGUUCUAGAGAAAUUUCUGGAGCCCUUGCAGAUUUUGUUUCAAGGAACUCUUCUCCAGUCUGAGUAGGUAUUUCUUACACGGUUGAAAUUAUAUUCACAAAUAACUCUCCUGUAUGUGUAUAUACCUACUGGCUCUGUGCCUCAGCAUGCACCAUAGUUUUACAGAUGAAUUCAUUAAAAUGCCUAGGCAUUCAUGGCUGACAUUUGUUCUGUUUAAUUGAAAUAAUUUCAUCGCCUUCUAAACUUAGCUUUUGUGGAACAUCAAAACUUUGGAAUAUUCUCUUUUCUAUUAUUUAUAAGCCUUACAAGAUAUUCUUAAUUUCUUGUUUAGUUGUCCCAAAUUAUGUUUUUAUGUGACUAUGUAUUCAUGUAAUUGCAUGCCCUUCAUCUUAGGAAUGCUGCCUAACUUCUAGCUUUCUAGAAAAUGCAUCUCUUACAAGCUGUAGAAUGGAUGUACAAUACAAAACAUUUUAUUAAAAUGUGGAGACCACAGCAACGUUAGGCUUUUGAAGCAGGACUGCUCUCAAUUAAUAUGAGUUUCUUUGUGCUAUAUAUAACCUGUCCAUUGAUGCAAGUGACCUAGUACCUGGAACAGCCUAAAUGAAGUUUGCAUUGUACACUACAAUGACAGAAAAUGCAGGACAUGUUUUGUCUUUACUUAACUUUUUUCCAAUUUAAUGAAAACGUGGAGGUUUUUGUGGCUGAGUCUGAGCCUGGUUACCUUAACUUGCUGAUAUAUAAGCCCACUCUUCCAUGAUACAUCCAUUCUGAGAGUUUGUGAUUGAACUGGAACAAAGGAGGAAAAGAGGGUAGGGGUUUAUUGACAGAAUGGUAGUUCCGCGUUUGCAGAUUUCACUGUUUUGUAUUAUCAGCUGGAAUGUUGCUUCCCAGCAUAUAGCAGUUCUAUGGCUGUCUCAAUUGUUUUGCAUAGUAACAUCAACAGUGCCUUCAACAUGUUAGUAACAACAGGGUUGCUCUGUAAAUGAAUCUGAAGAAACAUUUCUUUUUGUUGUUGUUUAAGGGGGUAGAAACAAACAAUUUCUGCAGCAUAAAGAGCCUUUGCCUCAAUAGAGCAAUCCCCAAAGUGUGUUGAGUUUUUACAAUAUAGGAGUAUCUUCCUAGAUUCCUACAUCUGUAGUCAAGACUGUGAGGAAAAAGUGCAGCUUGGGGAAGCUCCUCUGCCUACACAAGUCCCCUGUCCCUGGGAGCUGCAAGGGUUCAAGGUUUUUUUUUUUUUUUUUUUUUUUUUUUUCCUUUUUUUUUUUUCUUUCACGUUGGGAGUCUUCCCUCCCAGCUUUUUAAAUAGAGUUCAUCCAGCCACUUGAAAGGUAGAGAUAGCACUGAUGUGACCUGAAAGAGCAAGUCCUGAGGAAUUGCAGACCUCUGUCUUUGCUCACAUUGAAAGUGUGCAUCUCUCAGGACCUGUGGUUGAGGUUUGUGUUUGAUUUUCAGUGUAGAAGUUCUCUUGGUUUCUGGGACUGUGUUUUUUGCUAAGCGGGGAGAUUCUUUUGCAGUGUUAUAAUUAGUGAUCAAUAUUGGAGCUAAUAUCUUUGCUGUGGGCUGGGGAAGAGAGCUUCAGAAAUUGGAAGUGGCUGUUAAGUGCAGUGAAAAGCAGAAGUUUCUUCUAAAAAACAACAUUCAGGAGCUCUUGUGGAGUUGACUGUUUUCUUGAUCUUCAUGUAAAUGCUCAGUAUUAGUGUUCAUAAGAAGAUCUUAGUGCUAAUCCUCCUGUAGGUUCCUUUGAAAUAUGUUAAACUUUUUUUCUUUACUCUCAUAAAAGUGCCUCCUACACUUCUUUCACUGAACAGUCUCUGAUUUAUUAAUGCAUAAUGUGUCCCAGAAAUCAGUUUAACUGAUUUCCAUCCAUCAUUCAGCAUCACUUUUCUUAUAAUGCAGAAUAGAUUUUUUGAAGACCUGUUUUGUAUACUCUGGAUGAUAACUCUGUCUAACUUGCCUGAAAAAGGGUAUAACUUACCGGUUUUAUUAUUUAUGAUUGAAAGGUGCGUUAGUAACAACCAGGAACCUAAUUUCCAUAUGGAUAUUGAGUUCUGUUUUUCAGAAUCUGCCUUUCAUUUAUACUUCUUCAGUCUCAGGAGAAAAUCUAAUGAUCAAGAAAGGACCAGCAACACUAAUUAAAACAAUAUUUAAGGCCAGGUCUGUGUAGAAAUGCAAGGUGUGUAACCAUUAUGCUUUCCAAAUCAAUCUAACCUGGAAAUGUUAUGCCUCGAAGGCGUAGAGCACACAAGCCUGGUGCAAAGACGGGAUUUCUCAGGCAAGUGUCUUCUGUCGUGUCAUGUCUGGCAUUCCCCUAACAGUAUUCAUAGUUGCUUGUCCUGAAGCACUAAUCUCUGCUGAAUACAAAGUAUGUUGAUUUGCACUUCUGCUCUGUGACGUUAUAGAAACCUGCACAGAGGGAUGUAAAGGUAGUAUUCGUUAUGCUUCUUCAUAAAAUACUAUACUUCAGUCGUAAAAUACUACCUGUACCAAGACAAUCUAGUGGUCUCUGAUGUUCAGAAAGCAGGCAACCACAGGGCACAAAGACAAACCUGUUACUUGAGGACUUGUUUUAGCUGGCACCUGGGAAUGAUUCAGAGCCUCCCCUAGUCAAAUACAUCUGAACCUACAUCUGGAGCUGGAAGAGCUUGGCUGCAGUUAGGAAAGACUUAUGUUUGCUUUGUGGAGAAAACCAGUAGAGAAGCACGGAAAACAAGUCAGUGGUGGGUUAAAUCUAAGAUAGAAAUACUUAAAGCAGAAUCCUGCAAUUCACAUUGAAGCAAAAAAGUGAGAGUAUCAGAAAUUUCUGGUGCUUAAUCCUACACCCUGGACAUGACAGUGACUAAAAAUAGUUCCCUUAAGGUGACCCUGUUUGGGUUUGCUGAUGGAAAAGCUCUGCUACCAGAAUUCCAUGUAUAGUCAGCACCAGUAUGCACUGGGACAAUUGGGAUUAUCCGCGCUUGAGCCAAGCAGCUGCCUGCCAUUUAACAGGUGUUUGCAAAGCCUCAGAUCAGGUACAGCCUUGCUGUGAAUGAACUGUUUUUCAUGGGGGUGAAAUCUCAGUGAGAGUCCACGAGCAAGGCUUCUUUUCUCUGUCUCACAGUGAAAUGGUGCCUACAGCUCUGUGACUUUCCCCAGACCGUGUGGUGUAGUUGUGGAAUUUACAACAAGCAGCAGCACUUAAGUUAGCUAAGAGACAGGCAAUGUAUUGGCACCACAGAGAACUCAAACAAGCACUUUAUGGCCGCCCCACGGAAUUGACACAUUUCUGUGUUAGAACAGUAACUCCUGCGCUCUGUACAAAAUGUUAAACAGGUGACCUAGGAUUGCCCAAUUGACUAUGUUUGUUGGCAGUACAAAAACAUGUGCAUCAGCAUUUCUAAAAUUGGAAAAAAAGUAGAAGCCUGGAGUCUGGAAAAAUUUUACAGAUUGGCAGCACCUACUUGCUUUAAUCAGGAUUGCAGGAGAACAGCUGAGGGUGACCUGUAAAAGUAGAAAAAGAGGCUGAUGUGUGCAUGUAAGAGCUGAAUAGUAACUUAAAGCCCUGAGAGAAGAGCUCACUAUCAAGGCUUACUUGUGAGGAAGAAAAAGCUGCAGCUUUUGCAUGAGUAGAGGCCUCCUAACCAUUCAACAGGAACCCAUACUAAUUGAAAGCAGACUCCUUUUUCCUGCUAAGCAGAGGCUGCCAGAACAUUAUAAUAAAUUUCAGCCUUUUUCUGCCCCCCUUUUUUUUUAUGGUUAACUGAAGGGAUCAGGUCAGCCUUGCAACCGUUUCCAGGGGAAAUGGUUCAGAAUGUCUCCUUUUUCACAGGAUAUAUUGCUCCUGUUCAAAGACUGAUUCUGGCCUUUUUGAAGCCUCAUGGGACAUCUGUUGUGAACUCUGGUACAACAGCUGGAUGGACAGUGGCUGAAUUUAACUGAUAUUUAAUGCGAGGAAGGAAGCAUUAACUAAUGAAACUUAAAAUGGCACUAAAGAAGAAUAGAAAUGGAGAUUUGAGUAUCCCAGGCUCUCAUCUGAAAAAAAACAGAGAUGAUGUGGAAAUCAGGUGACAUGCCCCUUACAUGGGAAGAAAUUUCUGGACAAUGUGCUGAACAUGGAUGUCAAUACUUGAUUUGUUUUCCAGGCUGCACCUAUGCUGAGUAACUUCAUUCUGACAGGCUCCUGGUAGUUGCUGGUGGUAGGAUUGUUGGGUAGUUUAUACCAGAGGGUGAAUUCGGAUCUCGAUGUCUGUGCUCUGCACUCUAUAUGCAAGGUAGUCAUCAGUAUUUGGGCUUAUGACCUUGCUCUGACUAACACAUCCUAUCCUGUGCCCUUGAAAACCUCCACGUGCACACCCACCGCUGCACAUAGUUCACAGAGAGGACAUACCAAUCACAUAAACUCUGUUUUGAAAUCUUCGGUCUUUGCCCUUUGCUUUUUUGUUUGUAAAUGUUUCUUUGUGAGACUCUGUUCUGUGCAUGUUUGUGCCUACUUGGUAAGUGACAAAACCUGAUCUCACUCUGUGCUCACACUUGUUUACUUCCUGAUGAUGGUGUGAUACAGGUUCUAAGAGAGGUGAAUCUAUUGUAAAACAAAUAAUAAAGACCCAGAUUUUUCCACUCAAAAUUGAGCUUAUCUACUUUUUGUGAUUAAGGCUUUUCUACUGCAUGAUGUUCAAAUUGUAUUUACAGUCCGGUAGUAGGGCAGUCAAUGUCCUAACCAAAGCACGGGGACACUUAUUAGGUACUUUUUUCACAAUUUAGUGAUGGCUUUGGAUGGUACAUAACAUGACACUAGUAGUAGGUGGCCAGCUAGUAGAGAAAGCCAGUUUCUAUAAAUAAAAAUGAUUAAAAACAAACAAACAAACAAAAGUUAUUUAAAUCUCAAGUCAUUAGAAUGAGGAGUCCUAUAUGCAUAGUCCAAGAUUAGCAGAUUAGAACAAGGAUAAAGUAGAUGGAGUACACUGUGACUGAUUAACACUGCAGCUAGUCAGCACCAACUGUAAAUGAUGAUGUAAAGGACAAGACAGGAGAACUGCAUGCAGAGGUUUGAUAAGUACUUUGGGUUGCUAUGAAAACUGGAGUAUAACGAAGGAAGAGAGGAAUUGGAAUGGUUUUUACUUUUAUCACAGAUUCAUAAGGGUUGGAAAAGACCUCCAAGAUCAUUUGGUCUCACCAUCCCCCUAUCACCAAUUUCAUCCACUAAACC